GAAUAUUAUCAUGUUUCGCGUGACAAUAUGUAGUGACAAAUAUGUGGAAUGUAUAUUCAGUGAUAAAAACCAAAUAUUUUGAUCUGGAUAAUGAAUGUAUGAUGUCAAAUGGUUGCAAAAGUUUUUACAAAAAUGAUGACGUUACUAAAAUAGGAAAACGAGGGCAGUAGUGGUAAAUUACAAAGCAAUGGUUAUAUAGUUGGUCGAGUGGUCGUUUAUUUUAUAUAUAUUAUUUGUUAAUAUACACUUGACAUGUAACUGUUUGUCGUUUGUACACGCUGAUAAGAUACAUUGUACAUAUACUACAGAAGAACCGGUUCGCUAUAGUAUCAGGAGAGAGGGCAGGACCUUGAAAAGGAGCUCGCCGUGUUCGGGUGGGGCCUGUUGGCUGGUCGAGUCGAUGCUGUCGCGCGAGGACUGCCGCCUGGUCGGACCCGUCGUCUCCUGGGGCCGGUUGAACGUAGAACCGCCAGCCUGAGAAGUGGAAGGAGUAGCUGGGGCCGGGCCCCUGGCUCCACUAGCGGACCCAGUGCCGGCCGACCAAUCGGAGGCAACUGGCCCCGUUCCACGCGGACCGUGUCUGCUGGCGCGUUUCGUCAUGCUACGCAGCUUCUCCUCCAUGGUGUUCAUGGGCCCCUGCUACCGGGAGCACCAAUUUGCUCUUCUUCUUCUCGGCCACUCCUCGUCGCGCUCGUCGUUGUCGUGAUUGUCGUCGUCGUCGUCGACUCGCUCCUUCCUUCACUUCGCGCGGAUCGCGGCCUAUCUCCUGUCUUUCGUUAUCGAGGUCAGUCAACCCGGGACCAGAGACGAAGAGGGACACAGGGGACGAUGUUUCACCUUGCGUCUCUUCUGCCUUCCGCUUUGCCCGCUCGUUCGGCCGCCGUUGAUCAACGAACGCUGAGUGAAAGUCCGCUCGGCGAGAAGAGCCGCGCGACCGAUUGGAUCGAGAGGCCGAUCAGUGACGCGCUAGGCUCGCGAGAGCUGGCCGUAAGCUGCGCGCGGUUCUUAAGAGACACCUGGAUUAAAGGAACCUCAUGAGUACUGUUGAUGAGGCUGCUUUUUCAGGGAUGAUUCAAGAACCAGGUUCGAUCGAGAUCCUGUAUGGACGCGAGACACUCGUAACGAGACGAAAGUUUCGCGGGAAAGCCGUGAGACGAAACACGGCCAUCACGAGAUAGACACGUGUUACGAGAGAAAUCUGCGAGUGGAACGGCUGUUUGAUAGAGCAAUUUCAACUUUCUCGACGAUACGGUGCACCGCUGCCUGGAUAGCUGUCCGUCCGCCACGACUUGAAAGUGUACGUAUAAACCUGAGGAAUACCGAUUUCCAUCUGGAAGUUCCCUCGAUUUCUAUUAAAUUUCGAUACGUACGACCGAGACGUCCGAAUCAGAAUUCGAAUUUCGGGUCUUUUGUGCGAGGAAAUGAAGUAUCCAUUUCCUAAAGUAGGAGUUUGAUCAAUUUGUACAAGUUGACGUUGCAUAAUUUAAAUGCUUCUUUCUUCUCUUUUCUUUUUUUUAAUCCGGCUCGUCGAUUUUUGAAAAAUCUGUUUCAUAGUUGGAGAAUAAAGAAUUUGACAGAAUUACGUCAGGUACUUAAUUAUUUUAUUCACAGACGUGACUCGAUGAAAUCCUUCGUUUCUCCUUAAUCAUAGUUAAGCGAAGCAGAACUACAAAUGGGAAAACCAUUAACGGCUCGUACCACGUCAACUCAUCCCACGAAACGAGACAAGUGAAAAGCGUCUGGACGAUGAUAAUUAGAGAAAAUUCCCUCGAUCAAUCUCUGUGCCCUUCUCGCCCAAUGAAUAUUUAUGACAUCCCUGGGUAGUUUUCAUUCGGAAGAGAUUCAAUUCUCCACUAAUAACUUCAACCUAAAGCUUUCGAUAUCAAAGAAGCCAGUUAACUGCUUCUAAGUGAUAAAUUUAAAAGAAAGAACAUAUAUCGAUCACGAUUAAUCCUGAAAUUUAAUCUUGAAAGAUAAUAUGGUAUAUAUACUUAAUUAUCCUAAAAUUGUCAAGUAACCAAAAACGUUCCGUCGCAUUUUUUACAAUGAAAGAUGUAGAAAAGGAGCACUAUAUUUGUCGCGUAAUUACCUUCACACGUAGUAAAUGAACAAAUUCUAAUUGGCCAAUUUUAUUUCAUUGUUCAAGUACGAGCUAAUGAAAGUAGACCAUAAGCUUUCUUCGCGCAUAAAUAUCAUUUAUCAUUAUAUUGUAUAUCAUUUACGCAUUAUAUCGUAUAUCAUUUAGCUUAGAUAAUUCAUAAAUUUUGAUCGUUAAAACAUCGAACAGAUCUAAAACAUCGAAUUACUACGCUCUUUCAAAAUCGAACUUCCAAAUAAUAUGAUCACGGGAAAAUUAUAAAUUUCCAAAGGAUACCGUUCGAGAUUAAAAAUAAUCGAUCACUGAAUUUCAUCUGGCCGGCGAUGCUUGUGUAUUCGAUUAUUGUGUGCACAUUGUACACGGUACAACAAAAGCCACCAACGGUGUGUUUAUCGCGGGUACGUUUCGCGAUUGUAAUUUAUGUCGACUCACGUGUUCAUUAACUAGACGAUAUUGAAUAUUACUUCAUGUAUCGCGAAUAAACGACUGCUGUCCCCUGUUGCGAUUCGAUACGUUAAUUAUAGCGAUGGAUGAUGGACUAAAGUAAAGCAAAUUUUUCCUCAUAUAUCGCACAUAUCAUAUAAUCAUGCGAUAUUGUUUAAUGUAAAAGGUUAUAAAUUCUGUAUUGGUAAAAUCGUGUUUUACCCUAGGCAAUUGUUCUUGGUUAAUGUUGUUAAUUCUGUGUGA